UACGGGGGGGGCAAGCGUUGUUCGGAAUUACUGGGCGUAAAGCGUGCGCAGGCGGUUUUGUAAGCCAGAUGUGAAAUCCCCGGGCUUAACCUGGGAAUGGCAUUUGGGACUGCAAGGCUGGAGUAUGGCAGAGGGGACUAGAAUUCCUGGUGUAGCAGUGAAAUGCGUAGAUAUCAGGAGGAAUACCGAUGGCGAAGGCAGGUCCCUGGGCCAAUACUGACGCUCAUGCACGAAAGCGUGGGGAGCAAACAGG
rnacentral:rRNA from 1 species